rnacentral:lncRNA from 1 species
UUGGCGAGAUAAGAAUUUUCAGUACUAAUUUUCACAUCCUUUAGAACAGACGUCGCGACAGACGAAUUUCCGAAAUUCCAUAUUCAGUAGUAAAUUCCACAUCAUUCAGAACAGACGUCGCGAUAGACGAAGUUCUGAAAUCUCUACUUUCAUCACUUUCUCACACAUAAAAUCGUCAUUCAUCCCCAGACCACACAACUAUAGGGACAUAAUAUAAACAAACAGAGACAUAAAUUAUAUGGCUUCUAAUUAUAAAUGAUUACAGUUAAAACACAGCUGCAUCAUACAUUAAAUUUAACGGUCA